rnacentral:rRNA from 1 species
AAAGAUGAGCAUGCGUCCCAUUAGCUAGUUGGUAAGGUAACGGCUUACCAAGGCAACGAUGGGUAGGGGUCCUGAGAGGGAGAUCCCCCACACUGGUACUGAGACACGGACCAGACUCCUACGGGGAGGGCAGCAGUGAGGAAUAUUGGUCAAUGGGCGCAAGCCUGAACCAGCCAUGCCGCGUGCAGGAUGACGGUCCUAUGGAUUGUAAACUGCUUUUGCACAGGAAGAAACCCUCGGUCGUGACCGAGCUUGACGGUACUGUGAGAAUAAGGAUCGGCUAACUCCGUGCCAGCAGCCGCGGUAAUACGGAGGAUCCAAGCGUUAUCCGGAAUCAUUGGGUUUAAAGGGUCCGUAGGCGGCCAGAUAAGUCAGUGGUGAAAGCCCAUCGCUCAACGAUGGAACGGCCAUUGAUACUGUUUGGCUUGAAUUAUUUGGAAGUAACUAGAAUAUGUAGUGUAGCGGUGAAAUGCUUAGAGAUUACAUGGAAUACCAAUUGCGAAGGCAGGUUACUACAAAUUGAUUGACGCUGAUGGACGAAAGCGUGGGUAGCGAACAGGAUUAGAUACCCUGGUAGUCCACGCCGUAAACGAUGGAUACUAGCUGUUGGGAGCAAUCUCAGUGGCUAAGCGAAAGUGAUAAGUAUCCCACCUGGGGAGUACGUUCGCAAGAAUGAAACUCAAAGGAAUUGACGGGGGCCCGCACAAGCGGUGGAGCAUGUGGUUUAAUUCGAUGAUACGCGAGGAACCUUACCAAGGCUUAAAUGUAGAUUGACCGGUUUGGAAACAGACUUUUCGCAAGACAAUUUACAAGUGCCUGCAUGGAUGUCGUCAGCUCGUGCCGUGAGGUGUCAGUUUAAGUCCUAUAACGAGCGCAACCCCUGUUGUUAGUUGCCAGCGAGUCAUGUCGGGAACUCUAGCAAGACUGCCAGUGUAAACUGUGAGGAAGGUGGGGAUGACGUCAAAUCAUCACGGCCCUUACGCCUUGGGCUACACACGUGCUACAAUGGCCGGUACAGAGAGAGAGC